rnacentral:lncRNA from 1 species
CCUGGAAGAUGUAGACAAUAGAGGUAGGAGGCGCAAUAUCCGGGUUCGUGGGAUACCAGAAUCCGAGGGGCCAGAAAAUGCUGAGGCUUUAUUAACGGAAUUAUUCUGCUCUCUACUGCCACCAUCCCCACCGCCAACUAUAGAAUUCGAGAGGGCACAUAGGGCCUUGCGGUCUAGAGCAGCUGAAGAAGGGCCGCGUGACCUAAUAUGCUGCCUACACUCAUUCCCGGUGAAGAACGCCAUCAUGGCCAAAGCCCGGGAAAGACAGAAUUGGCCCUUUAGGGGAGCGCAGGUUUCGCUUUAUAAUGAUUUAUCCCCCAUAACGUUGGAAGCAAGGAGAGCCCUCCGCCCGGUUACAGCGACAUUGCGAGACCGCAAUAUACCAUAUAAGUGGGGCUUCCCCUUUGCACUAAUGGCUAGACACCAAAAUAGAUGGAUCACCAUGAGAUGGCCGGAGGAGGUACCACGGUUUAUGGGAGAACUGGGCCUCCCCUCUCAGUCGGUCCCCAACUGGAUCCUGGGGACAUUGGGGCCGCAACCCAGACCACAAAGAGGGCCCAGACAGCGUGAGGCGAGAACUCAUCCGGCUCACAACAGCGGAAGACGUGGAGACCCGACUUCCCCGGAGGAGUGAUCAGCAUGCCUGCCUGCGUCCAAGACCACCGUAUAUCGCCCCAGGCUAACACACCCACACCGGCACCCAGCUUUUCCUGUUCACGCAUCGUCCCUGGAGGGCUGGACCCCAACCGCUUAUCGCACGCAACCCACUUCUACACCCUGAUGUUGAGAUGAAAAGAACGCACGGCACAUCCACAGGUACUUUGAGUUAAUGUUCCGGGACAUGGAGCUUUGGGAGGGGAGAUCCUGGGUUUAAGGGCGCACACGGGAGCUGACACCCACCUGAAGCAGGCAUGCGGGUGGGUCUCUGGGCCACCCCCUGACUCUCUACCAUGGUUGUUGCCCGACACGGGGUGGGCACAAGAUACUUUGGGGGGGGGGGAGAGGGUCAUAAGGGGGCAUUGGACAGCAGAUACCGAUUGCCUGACUGGAUAUUCAGCACAAACUCAGGCAUCCUGGACGCAAAAACGGUGACCCCCCACGAAUGAGGACACUAAAUUGGGACACUUGCAUUUAAGAAAGGGUAUCUUUGAUCCAGGGAGCCGGGGGAGAGCUGGAUGGGAAGUGGGGUAGAGUGGAAUAUUUCUAACUGUUAAUGAUGCAUGCUAAUAUAACCUGACGCUGACUGAAUCAUAUUUACUGCUAUUCCUAAUUGUACAGGCCCAUUGUUUCCUAGAGGCAUCAGAUAGAAAUAGUUUGCAGAACACCAACCGGACCCCACUGUAUCAACGGGAAGUAGCGGUCCCUUAGGGGGAAAACAAGGAGGACACGCAGACUGGUAUAUAAUCUAGACCUCAGUGCUUACAGUACCGCAGAUACACAGAUAGUUCAAAGCCCUGACUAGUAUAGGCUGCACAUACCCGCUUGCAUCUGCCUGCUUAAUCCAAGCUACGCAUCCUAUUCAGCCCUCACUUACAGAUACCAACACACUUAGGUGCACCUUCCCCCCUCACCCCCCAUAUAGGUACUGGAGAGAAUAGGGACGAAAUGACGGAAGUGAGUAUCGAAUAACUUGCGCAUGACCAUGGGAGCCGGAGCUCUGGGGAUAGUUAUAGCUUUUAGACGAGUCAGGGUGCUUUAACCAUGACACAACACCAAUACUGGAUCUGAGAAAGCCAUCACUCCACAACCCGGUAGAUAGGGGAGGUUGACGUGGGGCGACCGGUGCGAAUGGACGCGGGAGGGAUGUUCGCUGCUGGGGGAGAAGCGAAUGGGGAAUGACGGGACGUUCUGGAUUAAGGAACUGCUAUCUUAAUCGUGACACUUGUAAAUAUGUUAAUUUGUUUAUUUAAUGUUAAUGCUUAAAUGCCUUGAAUAUGAAUACACAAUACAUGUUAGCUGCUGCCACUCACUCAGCUAUGAUUUUGGGGGUCACGGCGGAGAGGAGAACCCCAUGUAUACUCUUAGACACCUUAUCUGGGCGGAGCUCGAGUCGCGUUCCAUAACACAUACACUCGCGCUAAGAGGUCUGUGGCCAGGCUACGGGGUGUCUCGUCUCUUGGGCUGGUACCAGAGUGGGCGCCUGUUAGCGCUGGUCACUGCGCGAGACCUCCCCCUACUCUGUAGAGGGAUUACGGAUCUGGGACAUUACCGGAUUCCGAGGGGAUACCUACACUGAAGGGUAAACACCUCCUUUUCGAUCUUAAAUCUCACACAACACAUUCAGCUCCAUACUCGGGUACUGGGCCCUGGACCCCGGACUUGUCGCAUCGGCCGCAACCCCC